rnacentral:rRNA from 1 species
ACGAUGACGUUGAUAGGUCGGGUGUGUAAGCGUAGCGAUACGUUGAGCUAACCGAUACUAAUGAACCGUGAGGCUUAACCUU